UCGAUUCAGCGGCGGACGGGUGAGUAAUGCCUAGGAAUCUGCCUGGUAGUGGGGGACAACGUUUCGAAAGGAACGCUAAUACCGCAUACGUCCUACGGGAGAAAGCAGGGGACCUUCGGGCCUUGCGCUAUCAGAUGAGCCUAGGUCGGAUUAGCUAGUUGGUGAGGUAAUGGCUCACCAAGGCGACGAUCCGUAACUGGUCUGAGAGGAUGAUCAGUCACACUGGAACUGAGACACGGUCCAGACUCCUACGGGAGGCAGCAGUGGGGAAUAUUGGACAAUGGGCGAAAGCCUGAUCCAGCCAUGCCGCGUGUGUGAAGAAGGUCUUCGGAUUGUAAAGCACUUUAAGUUGGGAGGAAGGGCAGUUUCCUAAUACGAAAUUGUUUUGACGUUACCGACAGAAUAAGCACCGGCUAACUCUGUGCCAGCAGCCGCGGUAAUACAGAGGGUGCAAGCGUUAAUCGGAAUUACUGGGCGUAAAGCGCGCGUAGGUGGUUUGUUAAGUUGAAUGUGAAAUCCCCGGGCUCA
rnacentral:rRNA from 1 species